UACGUAGGGUGCAAGCGUUAAUCGGAAUUACUGGGCGUAAAGCGUGCGCAGGCGGCUAUGCAAGACAGAUGUGAAAUCCCCGGGCUCAACCUGGGAACUGCAUUUGUGACUGCAUAGCUAGAGUACGGUAGAGGGGGAUGGAAUUCCGCGUGUAGCAGUGAAAUGCGUAGAUAUGCGGGAGGAACACCGGAUGGACCGAAGGCAAUCCCCUGGACCUGUACUGACGCUCAUGACACGAAAGGCGUGGGGAAGCAAACGAGG
rnacentral:rRNA from 1 species